GUGUUGUUGGGUAGGGGAGCGUUCUGUAAGCCUGUGAAGGUGGCCUGUGAGGGUUGCUGGAGGUAUCAGAAGUGCGAAUGCUGACAUAAGUAACGAUAAAGCGGGUGAAAAGCCCGCUCGCCGGAAGACCAAGGGUUCCUGUCCAACGUUAAUCGGGGCAGGGUGAGUCGACCCCUAAGGCGAGGCCGAAAGGCGUAGUCGAUGGGAAACGGGUUAAUAUUCCCGUACUUGGUGUUACUGCGAAGGGGGGACGGAGAAGGCUAUGUUGGCCGGGCGACGGUUGUCCCGGUUUAAGCGUAUAGGUGUGUGUUCCAGGUAAAUCCGGUUCACUUUAACACUGAGGCGUGAUGACGAGGCGCUACGGUGCUGAAGCAACAAAUGCCCUGCUUCCAGGAAAAGCCUCUAAGCAUCAGGUAACAUCAAAUCGUACCCCAAACCGACACAGGUGGUCAGGUAGAGAAUACCAAGGCGCUUGAGAGAACUCGGGUGAAGGAACUAGGCAAAAUGGUGCCGUAACUUCGGGAGAAGGCACGCUGACAUGUAGGUGAAGUGAUUUACUCACGGAGCUGAAGUCAGUCGAAGAUACCAGCUGGCUGCAACUGUUUAUUAAAAACACAGCACUGUGCAAACACGAAAGUGGACGUAUACGGUGUGACGCCUGCCCGGUGCCGGAAGGUUAAUUGAUGGGGUCAGCGCAAGCGAAGCUCCUGAUCGAAGCCCCGGUAAACGGCGGCCGUAACUAUAACGGUCCUAAGGUAGCGAAAUUCCUUGUCGGGUAAGUUCCGACCUGCACGAAUGGCGUAAUGAUGGCCAGGCUGUCUCCACCCGAGACUCAGUGAAAUUGAACUCGCUGUGAAGAUGCAGUGUACCCGCGGCAAGACGGAAAGACCCCGUGAACCUUUACUAUAGCUUGACACUGAACAUUGAGCCUUGAUGUGUAGGAUAGGUGGGAGGCUUUGAAGUGUGGACGCCAGUCUGCAUGGAGCCGACCUUGAAAUACCACCCUUUAAUGUUUGAUGUUCUAACGUGGACCCGUAAUCCGGGUUGCGGACAGUGUCUGGUGGGUAGUUUGACUGGGGCGGUCUCCUCCUAAAGAGUAACGGAGGAGCACGAAGGUUGGCUAAUCCUGGUCGGACAUCAGGAGGUUAGUGCAAUGGCAUAAGCCAGCUUGACUGCGAGCGUGACGGCGCGAGCAGGUGCGAAAGCAGGUCAUAGUGAUCCGGUGGUUCUGAAUGGAAGGGCCAUCGCUCAACGGAUAAAAGGUACUCCGGGGAUAACAGGCUGAUACCGCCCAAGAGUUCAUAUCGACGGCGGUGUUUGGCACCUCGAUGUCGGCUCAUCACAUCCUGGGGCUGAAGUAGGUCCCAAGGGUAUGGCUGUUCGCCAUUUAAAGUGGUACGCGAGCUGGGUUUAGAACGUCGUGAGACAGUUCGGUCCCUAUCUGCCGUGGGCGCUGGAGAACUGAGGGGGGCUGCUCCUAGUACGAGAGGACCGGAGUGGACGCAUCACUGGUGUUCGGGUUGUCAUGCCAAUGGCACUGCCCGGUAGCUAAAUGCGGAAGAGAUAAGUGCUGAAAGCAUCUAAGCACGAAACUUGCCCCGAGAUGAGUUCUCCCUGAGACUUUAAGUCUCCUGAAGGAACGUUGAAGACGACGACGUUGAUAGGCCGGGUGUGUAAGCGCAGCGAUGCGUUGAGCUAACCGGUACUAAUGAACCGUGAGGCUUAACCUU
rnacentral:rRNA from 1 species